CGAAAUCCCAUGUUUGCAUGGCAGUUUAUACAGUGAGAGACUCUUUGGGGCUCGGUGAGGAAAGGUAGACGGUUUGAGUUUCUCGCUCUUGUUGGUCAUCUGUCAUCCUCUAAUGAAGGGCACCUAGGCACAACUUGAGUAGCAGCAGUACUCUCAAGGGAUACAUUUAAAUUUUCCCGAUUCAGCCUUAUAUAACUAAGAUGCACAACAGCUUCUAAGAUGACAUUGUUCAGAGACUUCUUCAAGCUGGCCUGGUUGAAAUCUCCUGCAAUGAUAGUGAAGGCUGUUUUCCUGACUUCUGAUCAUGGUGCUCACUUCCCCCAGUGCCUGCUUGACCUUGGCCCGAGGUGGAAUGUACACCACUACCAGGAUGACGGUGAAAGAAUCCCAUGGCAGAUUAAAUCGAUAUCACUUGGCCACUGGAUGUAGCAGGUACUUAGAGCCAAGAAGAUUGUGCUGGCUGCAGAAUGCCACAUCUAUCAGCCAGGAGAUUGGGUACUGAUGAGAGGCAACCAAUGAAAGAACAGCCUGAAGCCCUGUUGGAACAUGUUAUGUUUUAUAACUCCAGUAACGGAUCCAGAGAAAAAACACAGGAGCUGGGAUACUUGACUACUUAGGCAUUUUCCCCCUUUUCUUUUAGUGAGGCACUCACAUAUGAUGUGGUGACAUAAUGAUAUAUGCUGUUCACAUGUAUCUUACAUAUAAUCCAUACUGAAUUAUGUAAUUGUGUAAACAAAAAUGCUUAAUCAAACAAUGUAUUCACAAUAUUACUCAACUAUUACUGAAAUGUUAAAUACACUAAACUCCUUCCUGUUUAACUAUAAACUCCAACUCAAUAUGGAAUGCAUCUGAACUCAAAUGUGUAACUUAUUGCUCUCUAGUCAUCAGGCACAGAACUGUGCUAAAGUCCUGGUCAUUCUAGAUUUUUUAUGGUUUCAGAUGGUAUGGUCUCUACAGAGCCCAGAUCUCAACAUCAUUGAGGCUGUCUAAAAUUACUUGGAGAGACAGAAGCAAGCAAGACAGACAAAGUCUGUGGAAGAUUGUCCAAGAUACUUGAAACAAUCUACUAGCCAAUUUUCUUAUAAAACUGCAUGACAGUGUACUUAUGAGAAUGAUGCAGUUUUAAAGGCAAAGGGUGGUCACACCAAACAUUGAGAUUUAGCUUUUUGCUAUUUGCUGCUCUUUAGACUAGUUUUUUGAUAUUUUCAUUUUCUGAGAAUAUUUUAAUUUAAUUUCAUUAUUUUUGAAAGCAUCUUCACUUUAUAGAAUUAUG